rnacentral:rRNA from 1 species
UGGUUUGGGGAUUCGCUCCCUGUCGCCAGGUGGCUUCCCUUUGUCCACGCCAUUGUAACACGUGUGUCGCCCCGGAUGUAAGGGCCGUGCUGAUUUGACGUCAUCCCCGCCUUCCUCGCAGCUUACGCUGGCAGUCCCACCAGAGUCCUCAGCUUUACCUGUUAGUAACUAGUGGCAAGGGUUGCGCUCGUUAUGGCACUUAAGCCGACACCUCACGGCACGAGCUGACGACAACCAUGCAGCACCUCGCAAACGGCUAUUGCUAGAAAAGGUGUUUCCACCUCGGUCCGAAUGCGUUCAAACCCGGGUAAGGUUCCUCGCGUAUCAUCGAAUUAAACCACAUGUUCCUCCGCUUGUGCGGGCCCCCGUCAAUUCCUUUGAGUUUCACCGUUGCCGGCGUACUCCCCAGGUGGAUCACUUAACGCUUUCGCUGUGCCGCUUACAGUGUAUCGCAAACAGCUAGUGAUCAUCGUUUACUGCGUGGACUACCAGGGUAUCUAAUCCUGUUUGAUCCCCACGCUUUCGUGCAUCAGCGUCAGUAAUGGCUUGGCAGGCUGCCUUCGCAAUCGGGGUUCUGCGUGAUAUCUAUGCAUUUCACCGCUACACCACGCAUUCCGCCUGCCUCAAACAUACUCAAGCCCCCCAGUUUCAACGGCAAUUCUAUGGUUGAGCCACAGACUUUCACCGCUGACUUAAAAGGCCGCCUACGCACCCUUUAAACCCAAUAAAUCCGGAUAACGCUCGGAUCCUCCGUAUUACCGCGGCUGCUGGCACGGAGUUAGCCGAUCCUUAUUCAUAAGGUACAUACAAAACGGGACACGUCCCGCACUUUAUUCCCUUAUAAAAGAGGUUUACGAUCCAUAGAACCUUCAUCCCUCACGCGACUUGGCUGGUUCAGCCUCUCGGCCAUUGACCAAUAUUCCUCACUGCUGCCUCCCGUAGGAGUUUGGUCCGUGUCUCAGUACCAAUGUGGGGGACCUUCCUCUCAGAACCCCUAUCCAUCGUCGGUUUGGUGGGCCGUUACCCCGCCAACUGCCUAAUGGAACGCAUGCCUAUCUAUCAGCGAUG